CAUGCCUUAUACAUGCAAGUCGAACGCGAAAGUACCUUCGGGUAUCAGUAGAGUGGCAAACGGGUGAGUAACGCGUGGGAAUAUACCUUAUAGUACGGAAUAGCCUCGGGAAACUGGGAUUAAUACCGUAUACGCCCUUAGGGGGAAAGAUUUAUCGCGAUAAGAUUAGCCCGCGUCAGAUUAGCUAGUUGGUGGGGUAACGGCCUACCAAGGCAACGAACUGUAGCUGGUCUGAGAGGAUGACCAGCCACAUUGGGACUGGGAUACGGCCCAAGCUCCUACGGGAGGCAGCAGUAGGGAAUAUUGGACAAUGGGUGAAACCCUGAUCCAGCAAUGCCUCGUGGGUGAUGAAGGCCUUAGGGUUGUAAAGCUCUUUUAGCGGGGGAGAUAAAGACGGUACCCACAGAAAAAGCACCGGCUAACUCCGUGCCGGCCGCCGCCGUAA
rnacentral:rRNA from 1 species